AUAGCUUUAGGGCUAGCCUCAAGGUGAGAGAUACGGAGGUAGAGCACUGAAUGUCCUAGGGGGUAUUGCACCUACCGAAGACUAUCAAACUCCGAAUGCCGUCAUCUUAUACUUGGGAGUCAGACUGUGGGUGAUAAGAUUCAUAGUCGAAAGGGCAACAGCCCAGAUCGUCAGCUAAGGUCCCUAAAUGUAAGUUAAGUGGUAAAGGAUGUGGGAUUGCACAGACAACCAGGAUGUUGGCUUAGAAGCAGCCACUCAUUCAAAGAGUGCGUAAUAGCUCACUGGUCGAGUGAUCCUGCGCCGAAGAUUUCCGGGGCUAAAACUUACUACCGAAGC
rnacentral:rRNA from 1 species